CCUAACUUCUCAGAAGCUCAUUUAUAGAGACCACCACUUGCUCUGGAUGCACAGCGCGUGACACUGAAAAAGGCCUAGGCGUCCGCGUCUCCUGGUGCUCAGGCGGGGCCCCGGCUGUGACCAGAUCCACCCGGGGAGACGAGAAAGGCCGACGCUCU